rnacentral:rRNA from 1 species
UGGGGAAUAUUGGACAAUGGGGGAAACCCGUACGAUCCAGCGACGCCGCGUGAGUGAAGAAGUAUUUCGGUAUGUAAAGCUCUAUCAGCAAGGAAGAAAUGACGGUACUUGACUAAGAAGCCCCGGCUAACUACGUGCCAGCAGCCGCGGUAAUACGUAGGGGGCAAGCGUUAUCCGGAUUUACUGGGUGUAAAGGGAGCGUAGACGGCAAAGCAAGUCUGAAGUGAAAGCCCCGGGCUCAACCCGGGAACUGCUUUGGAAACUGUUUAGCUAGAGUGCAGGAGAGGUAAGUGGAAUUCCUAGUGUAGCGGUGAAAUGCGUAGAUAUUAGGAGGAACACCAGUGGCGAAGGCGGCUUACUGGACUGUAACUGACGUUGAGGCUCGAAAGCGUGGGAGCAAACAGGAUUAGAUACCCUGGUAGU